GGCCAUGUAGCUUUAAGGAAAGUAGCCCCAGCUUAAGAAUCUGGGGUAGAUGUUGGUUCGAAUCCAGCCAUGGCCGCCA
rnacentral:tRNA from 2 species